CUUGCCCCUAGAGGCAUUAUGGAUGUAACUGCUGUGUCACAUGUGUGUCAUUAGGUGGCAGAGAGAAGAGAGGCNNN
rnacentral:snoRNA from 1 species